CACAAUAUAGAAUAUUCAUGGCUUUUGCAUUUUGCUGAGCCAUUUUCUUAUCAUGAUUAGUGUUUGUGUGUAGCCCAUUGGCUAUGAUAAUCUAUAAAUCGUAGUCAUGUGCUUGAAUGAAAAUGCGCAUGCGUGCUUUCCAAUGUGUGUAGUUUAUACCAUUAAAUAGUGGAGGUCUAUCAAUUAAUUGUCCCUCUCCUAAAAAACUAUCUAUUUGAGUUGUCAUGAUCUUUGGCUCUUUGACGGUUAGGUCAAAGUCAUAAGGCAAGAAAUUA
rnacentral:lncRNA from 1 species